rnacentral:rRNA from 1 species
ACACGCAUGACACACUGCAUAUCAAUAAGCGGAGGAAAAGAAACUAACAUAGGAUUCCCUUAGUAACGGCGAGUGAAGCGGGAAGAGCUCAAAUUUGAAAUCUUCAAGGUUCUACCUUGACGAAUUGUAGUUUAAAGAAGUGUUUUCUGUUGGAGUUUUGGUAAAAGUUCUUUGGAAUAGGACAUCAUAGAGGGUGAGAAUCCCGUAUUUGACCAUUAUCUUCCAGCUGUGUGAUACACUUUCAAAGAGUCGGAUUGUUUGGGAAUGCAGUCCAAAAUGGGUGGUAAAUUUCAUCUAAAGCUAAAUAUUGGCGAGAGACCGAUAGCGAACAAGUACCGUGAGGGAAAGAUGAAAAGAACUUUGAAAAGAGAGUUAAACAGUACGUGAAAUUGUCAAAAGGGAAGCGUUUGACACCUAGUGUUGUUUUCUCGAAAAUCAAUUAAAAAUGAUGGGAUUUUGUGUUGUAUUGACUUUAUCAGCUUUCUGCACUUUUUUCUUAUCUUUUUUAAUGCACUUUUCGUUUAGCAAGUCAACAUCAAUUUCUUUUGUUGUAAAAGAGUCAUUGGAAGGUGGCUUUUUCUUCGGAAAAAGUGUUUAUAGCCUUUGGCUUCUGCAAUCGGAGAGAUUGAGGUCUGCAGCGUAGAUCCUUCGGGGUUAGAUACAUUUGUGCUAAGCUAUAGUUCCUUAUAGACAACUUGUUGACUAUAAUCAAUCCUGUAACUUACUCGCUUAUGCUAUUUUACCUACGCUUAGGAUGUUGAUCUACAGAGCGAGAGU